GACGAACGCUGGCGGCGUGCUUAACACAUGCAAGUCGAACGCAAAGGCCCUGCUUUUGUGGGGUGCUCGAGUGGCGAACGGGUGAGUAACACGUGAGUAACCUGCCCUUGACUUUGGGAUAACUUCAGGAAACUGGGGCUAAUACCGGAUAGGAGCUCGUGCUGCAUGGUGGGGGUUGGAAAGUUUCGGCGGUUGGGGAUGGACUCGCGGCUUAUCAGCUUGUUGGUGGGGUAGUGGCUUACCAAGGCUUUGACGGGUAGCCGGCCUGAGAGGGUGACCGGCCACAUUGGGACUGAGAUACGGCCCAGACUCCUACGGGAGGCAGCAGUGGGGAAUAUUGCACAAUGGGCGGAAGCCUGAUGCAGCAACGCCGCGUGCGGGAUGACGGCCUUCGGGUUGUAAACCGCUUUCGCCUGUGACGAAGCGUGAGUGACGGUAGUGGGUAAAGAAGCACCGGCUAACUACGUG
rnacentral:rRNA from 1 species